AGGGCAGAGUAUUGGAGCUGGAUGGGACUUGGUUCAUGGGGCGCAGGGUGAUGGAGCUCAGGACAUGGGGCACAGGGUGAUGGAGCUCAGGACACAGGGCACAAGGUGAUGGAGCUCAGGACACGGGGCACAAGGUGAUGGAGCUCGGGGCGCAGGGUGAUGGAGCUCAGGACACGGGGCACAAGGUGAUGGAGCUCGGGGCGCAGGGUGAUGGAGCUCAGGACACGGGGCACAAGGUGAUGGAGCUCGGGGCGCAGGGUGAUGGAGCUCAGGACACGGGGCACAAGGUGAUGGAGCUCGGGGCACAGGGUGAUGGAGCUCAGGACAAGGGGCACAAGGUGAUGGAGCUCGGGGCGCAGGGUGAUGGAGCUCAGGACACGGGGCACAAGGUGAUGGAGCUCGGGGCACGGGGCACAAGGUGAUGGAGCUCAGGACACGGGGCACAGGGUGAUGGAGCUCAGGACACAGGGCACAAGGUGAUGGAGCUCGGGGCGCAGGGUGA